GAACUUCGCUGGUAGUAGUCAAGCGAAGGGGUGACGCAGGAAGGUAGCCGUACCAGUCAGUGGUAACACUGGGGCAAGCCGGUAGGGAGAGCGAUAGGCAAAUCCGUCGCUCACUAAUCCUGAGAGGUGACGCAUAGCCGGUUGAGGCGAAUUCGGUGAUCCUCUGCUGCCAAGAAAAGCCUCUAGCGAGCACACACACGGCCCGUACCCCAAACCGACACAGGUGGUCAGGUAGAGCAUACCAAGGCGUACGAGAUAACUAUGGUUAAGGAACUCGGCAAAAUGCCCCCGUAACUUCGGGAGAAGGGGGACCGGAAUAUCGUGAACACCCUUGCGGUGGGAGCGGGAUCCGGUCGCAGAAACCAGUGAGGAGCGACUGUUUACUAAAAACACAGGUCCGUGCGAAGUCGCAAGACGAUGUAUACGGACUGACGCCUGCCCGGUGCUGGAAGGUUAAGAGGACCCGUUAACCCGCAAGGGUGAAGCGGAGAAUUUAAGCCCCAGUAAACGGCGGUGGUAACUAUAACCAUCCUAAGGUAGCGAAAUUCCUUGUCGGGUAAGUUCCGACCUGCACGAAUGGCGUAACGACUUCUCAACUGUCUCAACCAUAGACUCGGCGAAAUUGCACUACGAGUAAAGAUGCUCGUUACGCGCGGCAGGACGAAAAGACCCCGGGACCUUCACUACAACUUGGUAUUGAUGUUCGGUACGGUUUGUGUAGGAUAGGUGGGAGACUGUGAAACCUCGACGCCAGUUGGGGCGGAGUCGUUGUUGAAAUACCACUCUGAUCGUAUUGGGCAUCUAACCUCGAACCCUGAAUCGGGUUUAGGGACAGUGCCUGGCGGGUAGUUUAACUGGGGCGGUUGCCUCCUAAAAUGUAACGGAGGCGCCCAAAGGUUCCCUCAACCUGGACGGCAAUCAGGUGGCGAGUGUAAAUGCACAAGGGAGCUUGACUGCGAGACUUACAAGUCAAGCAGGGACGAAAGUCGGGAUUAGUGAUCCGGCACCCCCGAGUGGAAGGGGUGUCGCUCAACGGAUAAAAGGUACCCCGGGGAUAACAGGCUGAUCUUCCCCAAGAGUCCAUAUCGACGGGAUGGUUUGGCACCUCGAUGUCGGCUCGUCGCAUCCUGGGGCUGGAGCAGGUCCCAAGGGUUGGGCUGUUCGCCCAUUAAAGCGGCACGCGAGCUGGGUUUAGAACGUCGUGAGACAGUUCGGUCUCUAUCCGCCGCGCGCGUCAGAAACUUGAGGAAACCUGUCCCUAGUACGAGAGGACCGGGACGGACGAACCUCUGGUGCACCAGUUGUCCCGCCAGGGGCACCGCUGGAUAGCCACGUUCNUGUUCGCCCAUUAAAGCGGCACGCGAGCUGGGUUUAGAACGUCGUGAGACAGUUCGGUCUCUAUCCGCCGCGCGC
rnacentral:rRNA from 1 species